AUGCUUUGGUUUCUCUUCAUCACUCUAGCUGAUCUUUCGCCUUUUAUUAAAGAUUACCGUGGAGAGGAACAUUACAAUGAGCUCAAUCUGAAUUUUUGGAAUCCGACCUAACGGGUGGGU